UACGUAGGGUGCGAGCGUUAAUCGGAAUUACUGGGCGUAAAGCGUGCGCAGGCGGUUUUGUAAACCAGAUGUGAAAUCCCCGGGCUUAACCUGGGAAUGGCAUUUGGGACUGCAAGGCUCGAGUGCGGCAGAGGAGACUGGAAUUCCUGGUGUAGCAGUGAAAUGCGUAGAUAUCAGGAGGAACACCGAUGGCGAAGGCAGGUCUCUGGGCUGACACUGACGCUCAUGCACGAAAGCGUGGGGAGCAAACAGG
rnacentral:rRNA from 1 species